UUUGCCUACGGGGGGCAGCAGUGGGGAAUAUUGCACAAUGGGGGAAACCCUGAUGCAGCGACGCCGCGUGAGUGAAGAAGUAUUUCGGUAUGUAAAGCUCUAUCAGCAGGGAAGAAAAAAGACGGUACCUGACUAAGAAGCCCCGGCUAACUACGUGCCAGCAGCCGCGGUAAUACGUAGGGGGCAAGCGUUAUCCGGAUUUACUGGGUGUAAAGGGAGCGUAGACGGCAGCGCAAGUCUGGAGUGAAAUGCCGGGGCCCAACCCCGGAACUGCGUUGGAAACUGUGCAGCUGGAGUGCAGGAGG
rnacentral:rRNA from 1 species